rnacentral:rRNA from 1 species
AUUGAACGCCGGCGGCAGGCUUAACACAUGCAAGUCGAGCGGAGAUGAGGUGCUUGCACCUUAUCUUAGCGGCGGACGGGUGAGUAAUGCUUAGGAAUCUGCCUAUUAGUGGGGGACAACAUUCCGAAAGGAAUGCUAAUACCGCAUACGCCCUACGGGGGAAAGCAGGGGAUCUUCGGACCUUGCGCUAAUAGAUGAGCCUAAGUCGGAUUAGCUAGUUGGUGGGGUAAAGGCCUACCAAGGCGACGAUCUGUAGCGGGUCUGAGAGGAUGAUCCGCCACACUGGAACUGAGACACGGCCCAGACUCCUCCGGGAGGCAGCUGUGGGGAAUAUUGGACAAUGGGCGGAAGCCUGAUCCAGCCAUGCCGCGUGUGUGAAGAAGGCCUUUUGGUUGUAAAGCACUUUAAGCGAGGAGGAGGCUACCUGGAUUAAUACUCUAGGAUAGUGGACGUUACUCGCAGAAUAAGCACCGGCUAACUCUGUGCCAGCCGCCGCCGUAAUAC